rnacentral:tRNA from 1 species
GCCUUGGUGGUGUAAUGGCCGCAUAAAAGGCUGUGGACCUUUUGGACCGGGUCCGAUUCCCGGCCAAGGCCC